GACGAACGCUGGCGGCGUGCUUAACACAUGCAAGUCGAACGGUGAAGCGCCUUCCUUUUUGGUGGGUGUGGAUGAGUGGCGAACGGGUGAGUAACACGUGAGUAACCUGCCCCCUUCUUCUGGAUAACCGCAUGAAAGUGUGGCUAAUACGGGAUAUUCUGGGUCUGUCGCAUGAUGGGUCUGGUAAAGAUAUUGUUUCUGUGGGGGAUGGGCUCGCGGCCUAUCAGCUUGUUGGUGGGGUGAUGGCCUACCAAGGCGGUGACGGGUAGCCGGCCUGAGAGGGUGGACGGUCAAACUGGGACGGAGAAAAGGCGAAGACGGCAAGGGGAGGCAGAAGAGGGGAAUAGUGGACAAUGGGAGAAAGACUGAUGCAGCGACGCCGCGUGAGGGAUGGAGGCCUUCGGGGUGUGAACCGCUUUCGGGAGUGAAGGAGGGCUGCCUCGUGUGUGGGUGGGUUGACGGUAGCUGGAUAAGAAGCGCCGGCUAACUACGUG
rnacentral:rRNA from 1 species